rnacentral:snRNA from 1 species
GUAUUCCCUUGGGCAGCUCACAUAUUAACACUGGAAAGAUACAGAGAAGAUUAGCAUGGCCCCUGCACAAGGAUGACACACAAAUUCAUGUAGAUGAAGAAAAGAAA